AUUGAACGCUGGCGGCAGGCCUAACACAUGCAAGUCGAGCGGAGCGGCGGACGGGUGAGUAAUGCCUAGGAAUCUGCCUGGUAGUGGGGGAUAACGUCCGGAAACGGGCGCUAAUACUGCAUACUCUCAGAUGAGCCUAGGCCGGAUUAGCUAGUUGGUGGGGUAAAGGCCUACCAAGGCGACGAUCCGUAACUGGUCUGAGAGGAUGAUCAGUCACACGGGAACUGAGACAAGGUCCAGGCUCCUACGGGAGGCAGGAGUGGGGAAUAUUGGACAAUGGGCGAAAGCCUGAUCCAGCCCUGCCGCGUGGUGGAAGGAGGUUUUCGGAGUGUAAAGCACUUUAAGGUGGGAGGAGGUACCAACAGAAUAAGCACCGGCUAACUUCGUGCCAGCAGCCGCGGUAAUUC
rnacentral:rRNA from 1 species